rnacentral:rRNA from 1 species
AACCAAUGGCCUCCUGAACGUGCGUUGCACUCUUGGGAUUUCCUGAAGAAGUAUGUCUGCUUCAGUGCUUAA